rnacentral:rRNA from 1 species
GAUGAACGCUGGCGGCGUGCCUAAUACAUGCAAGUCGAGCGAACGGACGAGAAGCUUGCUUCUCUGAUGUUAGCGGCGGACGGGUGAGUAACACGUGGAUAACCUACCUAUAAGACUGGGAUAACUUCGGGAAACCGGAGCUAAUACCGGAUAAUAUUUUGAACCGCAUGGUUCAAAAGUGAAAGACGGUCUUGCUGUCACUUAUAGAUGGAUCCGCGCUGCAUUAGCUAGUUGGUAAGGUAACGGCUUACCAAGGCAACGAUGCAUAGCCGACCUGAGAGGGUGAUCGGCCACACUGGAACUGAGACACGGUCCAGACUCCUACGGGAGGCAGCAGUAGGGAAUCUUCCGCAAUGGGCGAAAGCCUGACGGAGCAACGCCGCGUGAGUGAUGAAGGUCUUCGGAUCGUAAAACUCUGUUAUUAGGGAAGAACACAUGUGUAAGUAACUGUGCACAUCUUGACGGUACCUAAUCAGAAAGCCACGGCUAACUACGUGCCAGCAGCCGCGGUAAUACGUAGGUGGCAAGCGUUAUCCGGAAUUAUUGGGCGUAAAGCGCGCGUAGGCGGUUUUUUAAGUCUGAUGUGAAAGCCCACGGCUCAACCGUGGAGGGUCAUUGGAAACUGGAAAACUUGAGUGCAGAAGAGGAAAGUGGAAUUCCAUGUGUAGCGGUGAAAUGCGCAGAGAUAUGGAGGAACACCAGUGGCGAAGGCGACUUUCUGGUCUGUAACUGACGCUGAUGUGCGAAAGCGUGGGGAUCAAACAGGAUUAGAUACCCUGGUAGUCCACGCCGUAAACGAUGAGUGCUAAGUGUUAGGGGGUUUCCGCCCCUUAGUGCUGCAGCUAACGCAUUAAGCACUCCGCCUGGGGAGUACGACCGCAAGGUUGAAACUCAAAGGAAUUGACGGGGACCCGCACAAGCGGUGGAGCAUGUGGUUUAAUUCGAAGCAACGCGAAGAACCUUACCAAAUCUUGACAUCCUUUGACAACUCUAGAGAUAGAGCCUUCCCCUUCGGGGGACAAAGAGACAGGUGGUGCAUGGUUGUCGUCAGCUCGUGUCGUGAGAUGUUGGGUUAAGUCCCGCAACGAGCGCAACCCUUAAGCUUAGUUGCCAUCAUUAAGUUGGGCACUCUAAGUUGACUGCCGGUGACAAACCGGAGGAAGGUGGGGAUGACGUCAAAUCAUCAUGCCCCUUAUGAUUUGGGCUACACACGUGCUACAAUGGACAAUACAAAGGGCAGCGAAACCGCGAGGUCAAGCAAAUCCCAUAAAGUUGUUCUCAGUUCGGAUUGUAGUCUGCAACUCGACUACAUGAAGCUGGAAUCGCUAGUAAUCGUAGAUCAGCAUGCUACGGUGAAUACGUUCCCGGGUCU